CAGCAACCGCGGUUAUACAAAUAAUGCAAAUAAAAUUUAUUAAUAAUAGUUAAUUUGUUUUAUUUAAGUUUAUUUUGAAUUUUUUAAGUGAAAUUUUAAAUUUAAUUAAUUUAAAAUUAAUGAAGCUAGUAAAUUUUAAUGAUAAACUAGGAUUAGAUACCCUAUUAUUUAAAAAGUAUUUUUUUUUGUUUGAGUAGUAAUAGUUAUGUUCUUAAAACUUAAAAAAUUUGGCGGUGUUUUAGUCUAUUUAGAGGAACCUGUCCUGUAAUCGAUAAUCCACGUUGGACCUUACUAAUUUUUGUUUUCAAUUUGUAUAUCGCCGUUAUCAGAAUAUCUUAAAAGAGAAAAAAUUUUCUUAAUUUAUUAAUAAAAAUGAUGUCAGGUCAAGGUGCAGUUUAUAUUUUAGAAGAGAUGGGUUACAAUAAAACUAUUUAUACGAAGAAUUUUAUUGAAAAAUAAAUUUAAAGGUGGAUUUAAAAGUAAAAUAAUAAAU
rnacentral:rRNA from 1 species